UGGGGAAUAUUGGGCAAUGGGCGCAAGCCUGACCCAGCAACGCCGCGUGAAGGAAGAAGGCUUUCGGGUUGUAAACUUCUUUUGUCAGGGAACAGUAGAAGAGGGUACCUGACGAAUAAGCCACGGCUAACUACGUGCCAGCAGCCGCGGUAAUACGUAGGUGGCAAGCGUUGUCCGGAUUUACUGGGUGUAAAGGGCGUGCAGCCGGGCUGGUAAGUCAGAUGUGAAAUCCGUGGGCUUAACCCACGAACUGCAUUUGAAACUGCUGGUCUUGAGUACCGGAGAGGUUAUCGGAAUUCCUUGUGUAGCGGUGAAAUGCGUAGAUAUAAGGAAGAACACCAGUGGCGAAGGCGGAUAACUGGACGGCAACUGACGGUGAGGCGCGAAAGCGUGGGGAGCAAACA
rnacentral:rRNA from 1 species